rnacentral:sRNA from 1 species
AUGUCAGGGUUGGAGAAUGGAGUCUGUUCGGUGCAGUAUGGGAAGCUGCCAGGCAAGCUUCCUUCAUACUGUGCCUUGCCAGUAUGUUGUUGCAGGACCCCUUGUCAGAGGAAAGUUCAGUCUCCAUGGCCCCUUCAGCUCUUGGCCUCU